AAAAUUAUAAGUAAUUCAAUUUAGUUAGUCAAAUUUUUUUAGUUAAGAAUUAGAACACCUUUAAACAGAAACAUUUACACUACAUAAAAAUUGUUGAACUCUAUGAGACCAAACUAAUGGGAUACUAAUUCCAGUUUUUUUUUUUUUAUCAACGCACUAAACUUUAAACAUGUAGAUUUUUUAAUUUUUAGAAAUAAAACCAUUUUGGUUGGUCAAAACUUUUGUAAAUAGUUAAAACAACAAAUUGAUAUAAACAAAGCACUAAACUUAGUUAAUCAUUAAUUUAUAAUACGUAAAAAUAUGUUAAACUUAUGACACCAAAUUAA
rnacentral:lncRNA from 1 species